UUCGGUUCGAUUAUGGCUCAAGAUUGAACGCUGGCGGGAUUAACUUUACACAUGCAAGUCAGACGGCAGCACGGACUUCGGUCUGGUGGCGAGUGGCGAACGGGUGAGUAAUGUAUCGGAACGUGCCUAGUAGCGGGGGAUAACUACGCGAAAGCGUAGCUAAUACCACAUACGCCCUUCGAAAGGGAAAGCGGGGACCUUCCGGGCCUCGCACUAUUAGAGCAGCCGAUAUCGGAUUAGCUAGUUGGUGGGGUAACGGCUCACCAAGGCGACGAUCAGCAGCUGGUUUAGAGAGGACGACCAGCCACGCUGGGACUGAGACACGGCCCAGACUCCUACGGGAGGCAGCAGUGGGGAAUUUUGGACAAUGGGGGAAACCUGAUCCAGCCAUCCCGCGUGUGCGAUAGAAGGCCUUCGGGUUGUAAAGCACUUUUGGCAGGAAAGAAACGGCACGGGAUAAUACCCCGUGCAACUGACGAAACACCUGCAGAAUAAGCACCGGCUAACUACGUGCCAACAGCCGCGGUAAUACGUAAGUGCAAGCGUUAAUCGGAAUUACUGGGCGUAAAGCGUGCGCGAGCGGUUCGGAAAGAAAGAUGUGAAAUCCCAGAGCUUAACUUUGGAACUGCAUUUUUUAACUACCGAGCUAGAGUGUGUCAGAGGGAGGUGGAAUUCCGCGUGUAGCAGUGAAAUGCGUAGAUAUGCGGAGGAACACCGAUGGCGAAGGCAGCCUCGGGAUAACACUGACGCUCAUGCACAGCGUGGGAGCAAGCAAGUUAGAUACCCUGGUAGUCCACGCCCUAAACGAUGUCAACUAGCUGUUGGGGCCUUCGGGCCUUGGUAGCGCAGCUAACGCGCGUGAAGUUGACCGCCUGGGGAAAUUGGUCGCAGAUUAAAACUCAAAGGAAUUGACGGGGACCCGCACAAGCGGUGGAUGAUGUGGAUUAAUUCGAUGCAACGCCAAAACCUUACCUACCCUUGACAUGUCUGGAAUCCCGAAGAGAUUUGGGAGUGCUCGCAAGAGGAACCGGAACACAGGUGCUGCGUGGCUGUCGUGGCUCGUGUCGUGAGAUGUUGGGUUAAGUCCUGGCAGGCGCAACCCUUGUCAUUAGUUGCUACGAAAGGGCACUCUAAUGAGACUGCCGGUGACAAACCGGAGGAAGGUGGGGAUGACGUCAAGUCCUCAUGGCCCUUAUGGGUAGGGCCCUACGUCCUUACAAUGGUCGGGACAGAGGGUCGCCAACCCGCGAGGGGGAGCCAAUCCCAGAAACCCGAUCGUAGUCUGGAUCGCAGUCUGCAACUCGACUGCGUGAAGUCAGAAUCGCUAGUAAUCGCGGAUCAGCAUGUCGCGGUGAAUACGUUCCCGGGUCUUGUACACACCGCCCGUCACACCAUGGGAGUGGGUUUUACCAGAAAUAGUUAGCCUAACCGUAAGGAGGGCGAUUACCACGGUAGGAUUCAUGACUGGGGUGAAGUCGUAACAAGGUAA
rnacentral:rRNA from 1 species